GAGAGAAAGACUACCAGCCUGAAGCAGAGCUUCUGUGUGAAUAAGCUUGAGGGAAGGAGGCAAAAAAUGGGUGUGUGUGUGGAGGAUUCACACUGCAAUUUUGAAAAAAGUCUACUCAGAGUUUCAGCUUGCCACAGGGGGUCACAAAGCCAAGAGCGAGAUGGCGUAAUGAAGAGCAAUUGCACCUAUGUGCUGAAUAUCCACUUUUUUUUUGGCCUUUUAAUGGACUGGGGAAGGAACUGAGGGAUGAUUUUCAUUGGACAGCAGGAAAAUGAGAGAGAAAGCACGGGCCUAUGAGAAACAUUUGGAAGAGAGGCACUAGCAGAAUAAAUUAAUGAAGAGAACAGAAGGCAAGGGAAUUCCCCUGCAUCCCAUAGGGAAAGCAAGAGAACAGCAGGGGAGGGAAUCCCUUAGUAUUCAUUGGGGAGAAAAGAAGGGACUCUCUCCCCAACCAGUGGGAGAGGACAAGCGCUAGGAGAAAUUCACACACUGUGUGUUAUCCAGCCAGCCUGCUAAUUACAUCAGAGCAACUCUGUACAUCAGUCACACAACCUCUGUUCCUCACACUGCACAGCAAAGAUCACAUGCUUCAGAACAUCAGAUGGUCUUCUAGGGAUGUGUUAACAUAAAUGUGGUCUGAUGUGUUUUAUGCCUUUUAAAAAUUUGAUAAGCAAUGAGAUUGCCUCAGGCUUCCAGCAUUUUUCUAUGAGUUGAAGGGGAUGGAUCCAUUCCCACUGUGGUUUAAAUUGGUGAACAAGAAAAUUGCAAAGAGGAGAGUUAAGAGUGAAAAAAUAAAAUAAA